rnacentral:lncRNA from 1 species
GUAUCAGGAAUUCUGCAUUCGUUUAGCAGAAUGGUUCUGGUUCAGUUUCUCAUGAAAUUGUAUUAAAGAUGCCUGUUAAGAAAGCAGACAUUUGAAGGUUUGACUAGGGUGGAAGAUCUUCCAGGAUAGCUUCCUUAACAGGUUGGCAAGUUGGCAUUGGCUACUGGUGGGAGGCCUCAGUUCCUUCUCAUGGCGGCUUCUCCAUACAAUUACUUGUGAGUGUUCAGGGCCCGGUAGCCAGCUUUGAUGCUAGCCUCUUUUAAAAUGAAUGAUACUAGGGAAAACAAAGGAGAUGUCACAAUAUCUAUGACCUAGCCUAGGAAGUCACACACCAUAAUGUCUGCAAUAUUUUAUUAGUUACACAGGUCAGUCCUAUUCAUGGUGAAAGGGACCAACCACAUCAUGGUACAGAUAGCCAGGUGGCAACUGCUGUGGAUCAUCUUGGAGCUUGACCAUCACAAUACGUUCCCACGGAUUUUUCUGUGGAUUCAAAGGAUGAGCACAUGGAAAAUACAUAAAAUAGUGCCUGGCAUGUGGAAUAUAACCCCUCCUCCCGAAAAAACAACGACAAAACAAAAUAACAGAAAAAAAACAACCUGCUGUAUUCAUUUACAAAUGAAGAAAUUAAUGUACAGAAAGUUUCAGGAAAUAGUUCAAGGUUACUCUGAUGAUUAGUAUCGGGCUACUAAUUGGACCAAAACAAGUUGUCAGUGCUUCCACAAAACCAGAUGGACAAAAUUGACAAUUGAGUCAGGAUCUUGGUGCUCAGAAUAAAUAGAUCACUGGAGAAGCAGCUUCACAAAAUGAGACCAGAGUAAAUACUCUAACUAUAUUGCUAUAUCGCAUAUUACGAGCUGAAACUCCAGGCUGCAUGAAUUGAGUAGAAUUAACAAAUAAUUGAAUGUAUUAAUAAACAUUUAGACUCCUUUACAGAAAGUUAGUGGUCAUGCAGGUAUUUUUGAAUUUUGAAAAUGUCCAACUCAUUUUGCUUUGCUCUUCAGAUACAUUCAGAAGAAAGACUAUAUAAAAAUAGACAUCUUGUCUUUAAUAACUAAAAGGCACACUUAGGUUUUAAUAUUAACUUUUUUUGGAGAGUAAGUUAUUUUUUGAAAGAUUAUUUGACUUCUUUUUCUUCCUUUUCUUGUUUUCCUUUCUUUCCAUUUAUUUUCUUUAAUAUACUUCUUUCUUGUUUUCCUCAUUGAUUUCUUUCUCCUGUUUUUGCCAAGUACAUUUUAGAUGAACAUAGACCCUAGGUUUAGUCUUACACAGAAUAUGUUGAGAUGAGAGCAGGUGAUUAUUUUAAGUUGACCAUUAAUCAACAAGAAAUCAAAUGACACUUUUGUGCAGAACCAGAUAAAUUAUUUUUGUACAAUGACAUUCUCAAACAGAAAUGUUGCAUACUUGAAUCUAAGACAAUUUAAUCACUGUAGCUUUUAAUGACAAGGCCUCAACCUCCUCCCAUUUGAUUAUGUUAGUGUACAUUUCUUUGCUAUCUUUACCUUCUCUUUUCUUUGAGAAAAAAAGACAGUGAUAGUCUUAAAUGGUAUUAGUGCUGCAGUUGUUACUAAUUAAAAAGUUAGAGAUUAGGAAGAUGAGUUGUUUUACACAAUGAGAGUUAAAUUAUGAAAACAAUCAAAAACAUGUAAAAAGACUGGCUGGGAGUGGUGGCUCUGGCUUGUAAUCCCAGCACUUACAAAGUCUGAAGUGGGAGGAUCACUUGAGCCAGGAGUUCAAGACCAGUCUGGCCAACAUGGUGAAACCCCAUCUCUAGUAAAAAUACAAAACUUAGCAAGAUAUGGUGGCACCCACCUGUAAUUCCAGCUACUCAGGUGGCUGAGGCAAGAGAAUCACUUGAGCCUGGGAGGCGGAGGUUGCAGUGAGAUGAGACCGCACCACUGCACUCUAGCCUGGGUGACAGAGCAAGACUCUAAUUUUAAUUAGAAUCAAGGAGGAUAGGAGAGAUAAAGAAAAAAAAAUAAAAGAUAUCGAAAGACAGAUAUUUCCCUAUUUUCAUCAGUGGAAGACAAAUGGCUCCUAAGUCACCAGGAUUUGAAUAACCUUUCUAGAAAAUAUGAUUAAAUAAAAAGGACACAUUUAUAUGUAUGAUAAUUGGUCUCCCCCUCAAAAAAUAAAAAAAGGCAGGGAAAAUAAUAUAGAUUACAAAAGCAAAUGAUGUUGAUUUUCACCCAAAUGCUGCCUGUCGGUAAUAAAGUCUACCUACAAUUUUACAUCAAAUAUAGGGAGCAAUAAGGACAUUUUAGCCAAAAAUGCUUGAGCAUUUGUGGUCCCAUAGGAAAGGCCACAAAUGCAAGAACGAUGCGUCAAGAUAUCUUCACUUGAUGCCAUCAUGGAAUGCUGCUUCUUCCUCUUUGUCUUACUCCAUGCUGGGCAAGAAACUAUAAAAGUUCACUAUGAAAAUCAUCCCAAUUUGCAUCCCACACAAAAUGACAUCUGAAGAGAGAAUGUAACGAUCAGGCUGACAAGAGCAUUCUAGGUAUGACCACAACAUUUUUUUUCCAUAGAAACUUAUACAUAUAUUUAUGCGUGCAAAAAUUCUGAUUCCUCAAGGAUGUAGAACCAGAAAUACCAUUUGACCCAGCAAUCCAAACAGCCCAAAGGAUUAUAAAUUAUUCUACUGUAAAGACACAUGCACAAGUAUGUUUAUUGCAGCAUUAUUCACAAUAACAAAGACUUGGAACCAACCCAAACGCCCAGCAAUGAUAGACUGGAUAAAGAAAAUGUGGCACAUAUACACCACAGAAUACUAUGCAGCCAUAAAAAGGGAUGAGUUCAUGUCUUUUGCAGGGACAUGGAUGAAGCCGGAAACCAUCAUUCUCAGCAAACUAACACAGCAACAGAAAACCAAACACUACAUGUUCUCACUCAUAAGUGUGAGUUGAACAAUGAGAACACAUGGACACAGGGAGGGGAACAUCACACACCAGGGUGUGACAAGGGGUGGGGGACUAGGGAAGAGAUAACAUUAGGAGAAAUACCUAAUGUAGAUGAUGGGUUGGUGGUUGCAGCAAACCACCAUUGCACGUGUAUACCUAUGUAACAAACCAGCACAGUCUGCAAACAUACCCCAGAACUUGAAAGUAUAAUAAAAAAAAAAAAAUUCCAUUCUGUAUGUCUGUACAAAAACCACAACAUAAAAUGAUUUUAAUAAUUUAGACUAUAAACCACAGAUAGAUUGCAUUGCUUUGCAAAUUAUAGGAAUUUAAUAAAUAUUUUUAUAUAAAAGUGAUGACUGAUUAAUUGAAGUAUUUGUUAUCUUCUUUAUUUUACCAAGUGCUAGAGUGACUUCUAGGGAAAGUAAGUUAUUACUUUGUAGGAGGGAUGGGAAAUGAGAUCAACCUCUUGAAUUACCUACCAGACGUUAUGCUAUUAUUCAUUUAAUCACUGCAGCUUUUAAUGACAAGGCCUCAACCUUCUCCUAUUUGAUUAUGUCAGUGUACAUUUCUUUGCUAUGUUUACCUUCUAUUUUCUUUGAGAAAAAAAGACAAUGAUGGUCUUAAAUGGUAAUAGUGCUGCAGUUGUUACUAAUUAAAAAGUUAGCGAUUAGGAAGAUGAGUUGGACAUAUUAUGAAUAAUAUGUUCACACAUACUAUUACACAAAGUCUCAUAUCACACUAGGUGUUGAUAUCUUUUUUAUAGAUGAAAAAUAAAAUAACUGAAACCUGGAGAUGUUAAGGAGUCAACAAGAAUACUAAAUUACCCAUCCAGAGUUCAAAAGGAAGUCAAGCUGACUGUAAAAAUCAUGUGCUUUCCACCACAGCACAUUUAUGGUUAUAUUAAAGCUAUGAUCUGCAGAAUGUGGUAUGCCUAUCCUGAGGGAUACAAUAAAAGUUUCCAAGUAGUGUGUGGGCAUAGAUAAUUUUGAGAAUGUUCCUUUCCAAUCCUUAAUUUCUUUUUUUUUUUUUUCUUAACCUAAAAGUGAGAAUACAUCUGCAUUUUGUGGUAUCGUAUUCAUUCUCCUCCACUCAUUCCUGUUUCAAAAUAGCCCCCUUUCCCACUUACAAAAAUACACCUCUGAGCAUUCUUAAUUCUUACUAGUGUGCAUUGCUUUGGAGUAUACAAGUCUUUGUUCUCCAAACAGUUCAAAUAUAAUUCUCCAUUAAUCAAGGUGCCAUGAACCCACAGUAGACCCCAUGUCUUUCCUGUUUUAUAUGUAUUUCUGUUAAUGGUGAAAAAUGACAUUAGAAAUUGAAUUUUUUCACAAGUUAUAAUACCAUGAAUUCAGAUAUAGCAUAUGUUUGACAACUGGAGUGAGAAUUUCCCCUAAAUAUUAAAAAAUGAAUGAUUUUGUUCCAUAGAAAGAACUUGUGAAAACCAACUAAAAGGAGCAU